GGUGACGUGUCCGAGUGGCUGAAGGAGCACGCCUGGAAAGCGUGUAAGGGGCAACCCUUCGAGAGUUCGAAUCUCUCCGUCACCGCCA
rnacentral:tRNA from 1 species